rnacentral:rRNA from 1 species
GAUGAACGCUGGCGGCGUGCUUAACACAUGCAAGUCGAACGGAAAGGCCCAAGCUUGCUUGGGUACUCGAGUGGCGAACGGGUGAGUAACACGUGGGUGAUCUGCCCUGCACUUCGGGAUAAGCCUGGGAAACUGGGUCUAAUACCGGAUAGGACCACUUCUUGGAUGUUGUGGUGGAAAGUUUUUUCGGUGUGGGAUGAGCUCGCGGCCUAUCAGCUUGUUGGUGGGGUAAUGGCCUACCAAGGCGUCGACGGGUAGCCGGCCUGAGAGGGUGUACGGCCACAUUGGGACUGAGAUACGGCCCAGACUCCUACGGGGGGCAGCAGUGGGGAAUAUUGCACAAUGGGCGCAAGCCUGAUGCAGCGACGCCGCGUGGGGGAUGACGGCCUUCGGGUUGUAAACUCCUUUCGCUAGGGACGAAGCGUUUUGUGACGGUACCUGGAGAAGAAGCACCGGCUAACUACGUG